rnacentral:rRNA from 1 species
GACAGAGGGGGCAAGCGUUGCUCGGAAUCACUGGGCGUAAAGGGCGCGUAGGCGGGAUGGCAAGUCAGUCGUGAAAUCUCUCGGCUCAACCGAGAAACGUCGGCUGAUACUGCCGUUCUUGAGGGAUGCAGAGGAGACUGGAAUUCCCGGUGUAGCGGUGAAAUGCGUAGAGAUCGGGAGGAACACCAGCGGCGAAGGCGGCGACCCGGACAAGUACUGACACUCAACUGCGAAAGCGUGGGGAGCAAACAGG